UCCCUCCCUUAGUUACACCAAGAGCUUCCUUAGCAUUUGGUGUAACGAGGUAGGAACU
rnacentral:pre_miRNA from 1 species